ensembl:ncRNA lncRNA:CR44335 long non-coding RNA:CR44335
AUUUCCUGUUAAUGUGUGAACCCGCAACUCGUUUCACACAAUUUCAACCGCAAAUUGCAGGGCGAUUUUCGUGUACGAUUCGAGAUACUGCCAUUCUACACUAAUUAUAACUGUGAAGUUGUAAAUCCGUCAAAACCAGGAAAGCCGGCGGAAACCACCCAGAUCCGCUUGGGAUACAAAGACAUCCCCGACCGCCAAAAGGAGGCCAUAAAUGGCAAUCAACAGACAAUCAAUGGGUUAAACCCUUUUUGCUUUAUGAUCCGAAAACAAUUUAAGCUUUUAUUUGUUUUUGAUGCCACCACAACAAGUAAUCAGGAGCCGCCAACCUGUCUUCCAAAUGGUAGCAAAUCAAAUUGGCCAACAGCAAAGCAGGGCUUACCUGCCUGGACCGUCCUGGAGCGUGGAGCUAAGUGCAAUGAGCAUACAUCAUGGCCAGAAGUUGCAUUUGGACACUGGCCGAGUACGAGUGCAAUUGAUGGAUCACCGAAAACCGACUGCCCGCAAUCGUUGCUGCUGCAGUUGCUGCAGCAGCAGCAGUUACUGCAGCACUUGCAGUGGGACCAGCGCCAAAUGAGUUGAGAAGCAGUUGCGUAAAACGAAACCAGCGAUAAUGAUCAUGCCAAGCGCAGAACGCGUUAAAGAUUUCAACGUCGUCAUCAGCAGCAAACAGAAUCGGCUCGCUACAGUGAACACUCGCUACAAGCAUACUCUAACCGAAUAAUACAGAAAUAAUGAAAUUUAUUCGGGUAUUAAAUUCACAAACACAUAAAGCUUUAGUUUAAUUAAAAAAAAUUACAUUUAUUUGAGCUAAGUGCCAGCAAAAUAAGAACAUAAUAAAAAUUAAAAAUUGAUAAACCAUUUUC